CACUACGUAUUAUGACAAACCCCCACAGUCACCGCCUCUUUUUGUAAGGCAUCUUCCGUUUCCGGCUGGGUGCCACUCCCGCGAGAAGCCGCAGGUUCAAGGCUCAUCAGUCCACGGUGAGGUAGGCUGUGACCUUACGCCUGCGCAGAGAGAAAAAGUGAGCGCCGCGUGGACGUCAAUGGUGACUCGCGCCUGCGCUGUGAGUUCUCUCCCUUGAUUGGUUUCAGGCUCCUGGAGGACUCGGCAGUUCAGUUUUCACUUUCUCUCUUUUCUGCCCUUCCCUCUCACUCUUUUUCCUUUGGCCGCGAGGAUUUACUUCCGGUUGCUAGCGCUAGGCGGCGAAAAAGUCGACACGUUCCUUCAGGCGGUCAGGCGUCUUGGGGCUGGUGGACGCCCGUGUGCCUCCGGUGAGACGGGACGCCGGGCCGGGCGAGACGUGGGGAGCGCGGCGUUCGCUGGGGAGGGGCUGCCGCGGAGAGGGCCCAAAACCGCGCUUCGCUCUGUGUGCACCUAAUUGUCACCUGGUCGCCAGGUCGGGAUUGAGGAGCAGGGAGCCUGGAAAAGCAAGGGAAGCAAACUGCACGGUGGUCUGAAGUCCUCAGUGACAGUACAAAACUUUUACCAGCAAAAACAAGUAACCAUAGUGGGGAAGAACUUCAAGAAACGAGUUUCUUCUGUUUGAGAGUCAGGCAGAAUUGUUAUGUCAACAUAGACUCUAUUGGUAGCAGUGCUAUCAUCACUGUGAGUGAUCCAGCCAAAGUAUUACCUCUAUGAACUUUCAGGCAGCACUGUUAUUGUGCGAUCCAGGCAGAUCAGACCUUAGAUAAUUGUAACUUUUCAGUACAGGGAACCUAAGAAGAUGGCAGCACCACCUCAUAAAAGCAUACUUGAAAGCAGUAAAAAUGUUCUCAUCUCUCCAUGGAAAGGAAAAUUAACUAUUCAAGGUUGUGUGCUGUGUGAUAUAACUCUGUGGUCCAGUUAUGGUACAGUAAUUCCAGCACACCUACCACAUGAACUACAUUUUAAGUAUGUAAUGCGAGUGUCAUCUUUGAAAGAAAGACUGCCAGAAGCUGCUUUUAGAAAACAGAUUUACUUGGAGCAAAAAGUCUGUUGCCAAGAUUUGUGCUUCAAUUUGUAUGAGGUGGAACUGUCAAACAAACAAGGGGAAGAAGUAGAUAAAUUAACAGAAUACAUUAAAAAUAAGCAAUUGGCACUCAUCAAAUGCUUAGAAGAUCGAGCAUUUUUCAUUUUACUUUCAUCAUCAGCCUUAAUACCAGAGCCAGAUACUGGAGAUGAGCAAAUGAGUCUACAUGUGUUGCAUUUAUUCCAUUCACACCUGGCAACAGAGGUGAAAGAUUUGAAAAUUGAAGAUGACAUUUCAUGGAAGGUGGCUCCCAUUUUACCUGCUCUUAAUUGUGCUCUUCUAGAAGCAAAGAAAUUACUUCCUGAAGAAGGAACUCAUCCAAACAUAUUAGUAAAGCAUAAUUUCCAAGAACUGAACAAGGUGGACAAAAACCUUUCUUUGACUGCUGCUCCUCAGGAUGUAAAGAAAGAGACUACAUUUUUUAGGAAACUGUCUGGUAGUUUUGACCUGGUUCCUCCACCUGAAAAGUGCUCAACAGAGUCUUUAACUCAGUUGAAGUCUUAUUUUUCAGAUCCUGGUGGUUAUACUUUGGAAGUGUCUACCGCUUUGGGUUUGUUAGCAGAAUGUCCUCCAUCUCCUUAUAUUUCAGAUGGAAUUUGUGAUGCUGGAUUUUCUUUAGUUAUGACUCCAGAUCCUGAAUUUCUUGACUCAGAGGCAGAAGUAAGAAAAAAAACUCAAACUGAAAAGAGUUCUGAAGAAAUGUUUAAAGAAAAGAAGGGAGCUGUGGUUCCAUUGAGUGCAGCAUCAAAUCUGAGAGUGCAGCCAAAGAGAAAGGCCAGCAUGCUACCCAUAGUGCGCAGCAAAAGAGUCAACCUAUGCCCCUCAUUUGCCAAAAGAACUACACCUGGAACAGAUAGCAGAUCAUCCUCUCCAUCACCUCUUAAGUUAGUUAAAGGACAGUUACCGCAGAAAAGAAAAAGAGGUGCGGAAGUGGUGACUGCACAAGUUGUACAGAAAACCAAACUGAAUAGGAAAAGCCAAGAAGUUCCUAUUUCUAAAGAUGUUCCAGUGGCAACAAAUACUAAAAGGGCAAGGAGACAAGAGAAAUCUCCAAUCAAAACUGUUCCAAGGGCUAAGCCACCUGUGAAGAAAUCUCCACAGAAACGGAGAGUAAAUAUAGUAAAAGGCAGUCAGAAUCCCAGAAUCGGAAAGCAGCCACAACCUGCCAAAGAAGAAACUGCUUUACAGCUUCAAUCAGAAAUUUCAUCAGAUGGUCAAAAAGAUGGAAUUAGCAUGAAUACAGCUCAAUCACAAAGUAUCACAGUGGCUCAAAAAGAUCUUCCUGAAAACUCUAUUAUAAACUAUGACUCCCAGGCCCUAAAUAUGUUAGCUGAUCUAGCAUUAAGCUCUGCUGCAUCUUCCACACCAUUAUGUGAGGCUAGAAACCUUCCCUGCUCCUCUGAAUUGCCACAAAAUGAUGUUUUACACUCCAAAGAAAGUUCAUUGUGUGAUACUUCUGACCAUGAUUAUCAUAGUGGAGUUAAAAGUCAAAAAGGUAUACUAUUAUCUAAAUCAUCCUGUGAUCAGAAGAGUAAUUCAGGGCUAGACUUAACUGCUAGCCACGAAGAAGAAAACUUGGUUCCUUGUAGUCAAACGCCUCCUAAUGCCCAGUCAGCACUCCGUGAGGAAACAGAGCCUUCAGGUACAAGCCAAAACUCUCUUAUAACUGUAGAACAUUCAUAUGCCCUGCUCCUUGGAGAAAAUUCAAAGAAACAUCUGCAGCAGAGAGGGUUACCAGGCCCUGCAUUUGCCAAGACUGGAACAAAAGGCCCUGAAGCUGGAACUCCAGUGGGGAAAGUCAUGCCAUUUCGGCAUCUGCAGAACACCUCCCCUCUACAAAAGCUUUCUGAGGAUUCAUUGGUAAAGCACAGAGGUCGAUUUAUAUCUUCCAACUUGAAAAAUAUUUUUUGCUCCCAUACUAUAAUUAGCUGUGAUGGCUCCUUUAAGAUCACUUUCAAAUGUGAAACAGAAUAUGCAUUCAACUUAGAUAGCAAAUACACAAACAACCCACUGGAGAAAACUGUUGUAAGAGCGCUGCAUGGGCCCUGGAACACUAAUUUGCCUGAUAAUAUGGAAGAAGUGAAGCUUCUGAUUCAUAUGUGGGUAGCUCUGUUUUACAGAAAUCGAAACAAAGUCAUACAAUCAUCCCGAAAAGUGGUAGAACACAGUAACCCAGAAAAAUAUGUGUCUAUAAAUAGCACAUUAGAAUCUUUUGAACUCAGUGAAAUUGAGGAAUCCUCCAGUGUGGAAAGAUGUUCCAUAGAACCUCUAUUAGAGACUAAGGAAAUGUCCAGAGCUCAUGCUAAUGAAGUAUCCUUCCAUGGUCCUAAAUGCUUGCUACCUCUCAUUAAACUACCACCUUCCAGAGGCUUGGAACUCUGUGUAGAGAAUGAACGGAAGGAAAUUUUUGCAAGAGAGUGUCAUCUGGAUAACUCAGAGAGUCAGAAUUUCAUCCAUUCUUGUAAUGAUGAGGUAGUUGGAGGGAAAGCUAAACAAGAAUCUGCAAAUAAACUAGAAGCUUCUAAUCUUGUGCUGUCUGUUAUCGGAAAUACUCAAACUAAUGGACCUUUUAGUUCUGAUGAAGAUGAAACCUUUCAGUCAGUUGAUAGCAAAAGAGUGGUUUCUUAUAAUGACACUGGCACACAAGCCACAUUCACCAGGACUUAUGAUGGGGCCAGCAGUCAGUCAGAGAUGUGUGAAAAGUCUGUUUAUAUCCCUCUUGAAAGUAGAGUUGAUAUUUUGCAUACAACAGUGCAGACAAACACAAAUGCUUUACAAGACCUUAUCCAGUGUAGCAGCCCUAUAAACAAUGAAUGUGAGUCCUCCUUGGAAAAGACAGAUGAUAAUAUGGAGUAUGUGAUGAUUAAUUUAGAACCAGUUACUUUCACUUUAGAAAAAGAUGCCUGUGUACCAGUACAUACAGAAGUAAAUAGAGGCGAGAAACCUUUACCCUUUAGUAGUGAAUUGAUUAACCAAAUGUUACCUGCUGCAGAUGUUAGGCAUCCUAUAUCUGCAUUGGAAGAGGCACAAACACAAGCUGUUAGGGACAUUCCAUCUCUAGCAAUGGCAGGACAGAAAAGCACUAAGUACCUUUCUGCCUCUUCAGGAAAAAGAGAGAUACUUGAUGAAGAACUGCUUUUGUCACAGAAAGAGAUGACUCUUCCAGUCUCAUCACCAUCGUCUGAUAAAGCAUUGAUAAUGGAGGCAUUAUCAUUAGUUAAGUGUUCUAGUUAUCCAUUACCCAGUGAAGAAAUGAAACACUCUCAAGAUAUCUGUCUGCAGACUCAGAAUCUCUUUAGCAUAUCUUCAGAGGAGAUUAUAGAGCCAUCACAGAUUGAAGUAGUCUCACCAUCAGUCUCUGCCUCCUUGGGAAAAAGGUAUUCCAAUGAUUGUGUUCCACCAAAAACUAAUAUACCAGAUGACUCUUUAGAACUAAGGAAGAAUGACAAGAGUAGUUUAAACUGUGAAAAUGUGAAUUUGGAAUCUUUCAAUGCAGUAUUUGCCAAACAAACCAAUUUGCUUAUAAAUGGGCAGGAGAUUGGUCUGGAGUUACAAGAGGAAAAUUCUGAUAUUGACCUAACUCUAACAAUAUCUCCACCUACAAGUCCCAGGGGAAAAGUGCCAGCUAAUGAAACAAAGCAACUUCAGGAGGCCACAGGGUCAAAUUUAGAACUUAAGGAUAUAGCUGAAGAAAUAAUUGAGCCAAAAGAGGUGACCCUCAUAGAAAAAACAGAAGAGAAUCCAGCUAGUUCUAUGUCAGCUUAUUCUACAGUGUCAAAAGAACCACUAGAAAAUGAGAGAAAAGGUGAUAGUUUACAACCAAUUACUUUAAUACUUUCCAAAGAAAAUUGUACCCUUGAGAUUGGGGAGGAAAUUAAUGUUACCUCUGACUUUCCCUAUGGUUCUUUAAUUGAAGAAGUGUCACCAUCUUCUAGUCCUGAUCCCCUAGUACCAAUUGAAGAAGCACGGCCAUCUCAGGUUGUUUCUCCAUGUAGUUUAAAACUUCAUGGUACACAGUGUGAAAAAAGUAACAAAUUCUCCCAGAUUGAGUCAGAAGAUAUAGCUGUAACAGAAAAAGAAAAUUCUUUUGUUGAUCCUUCCCAUCUAGUGAGACAAGAGAACACAACUCAACUACAGCAAAUUCAGCUCUCUGUUAAAAUGCCUCUAAUAUUAACUAAUCAUCCAGGAAGAAAAGGUAGACUAAUGUUUCCUGGUAAAAUAACUGAGGAAAUUGUCCCAAGGGAGCAUGGUGAAGGUUUAUCUUUCUCAGAAAAGGUGCAGUGCUAUGGUACAGAGUUAAACAAGCCUGGCUUAAUUGCCAAUUAUGGAGAUAACUUCAAGCCUUCUCUUGAAAAACUGGUAAAAUCAGGAAACCCAUUGCAGCCAAUUAGUAUAGAGAAUAGAAAUUUGGGCUUAAAACAUCUUGUCUUAGAGUCACAUGAACCCUCAUUUAGUUCUAGAAAGAGUAUUGAAAAUAAGUCUUUGGCUGAGGCAUUGGUUUCUACAACUUCUCUAAGUGGGAUAGUGAAUAUACCAUUAAAAGAACAAGGCAGCCCUGAAAGCAUUAAGGAAAAACUCUGUAAUAGUGACUUGAAAACAGAUGGUGGCAGUUAUAUGCAGGUGAAGUCUGUGAGCUCUGUCUCCAUUGAUGAAGCUGAUGUUACACAGGCAUACUUGCAUCCAGAGAUCCCAGAGUUUGGUUCUGCUUCAGAUAGUGCUACGUUCACACAGUGUACAAGACCAGAAAGUAUAGAGCCAGGGUUUCAGACACAGGAAAUAUCAGUCAUCAGAAUGGCCAGUCUGUUUGGGAAUAGCAGAACUGAAGCUGAGUUACAUGAAGAAGGCACAGAUGUGGAUGCCAUCAGCCUUCAGUCUAACUCCACAGCUUCUACAAAAGGUGAAGAAAAAACAGUCCACACAUUGUCAGAUACCUCAGUAUGCGAAAUGAAAGAGCUGUUGAAGGGUGAGUUUAUGCCCACGUAUGCUUGUUCUUACCAAAGUACUAUAGACACCAGUGAAGAACCUUCUGCCUUUGUUUCAGAAUCUAUUGAAACUCUUGUUUAUGGGGUUUCUAAAGAGCAUAUUGACAGGAAGACUACUAGUGAAGGCCAUAGGAAUGAGGCGGAUGCUAAAAUCCUGGACAGGAAUGUAGAUGCAAAUAUGAAUUCUGACAAGCACUAUGAACCACUUUCUGGAGACUCUGAUCAAGACUCUUUCAAUAAUUGUAGAAAUCCCAGAUUAGAUAUGGAAAAUUCAGGCAUUUUGGGUAGUUACACUAGCAAAAAUGAACAUGCUGCAAAAGAUGGCUAUUACUCUCUCAUGUGCUUAAAUAACAGUGAUAAUGAAGCUUGUGACUAUUCUAACAAAGUUCCAGGGGUGAAGAUGAACAUUCCUCCCAGAAACUGGGCCACUGGAUUAAAGAAAGCAGAUGAGUGUAUGCCACAUUAUGUCCAAAUCCGAGAUCGCCAUGGUAUCCUCAGGACUUAUGCUAACUUUACUGUAACAAGAGAACUCAAAGACAUGACAAGAACUUUGCAUAGGGUGAGGAGGCAUCCUAGUUUCACUCUAAACUCUGACCUCAGCUCCUGGAUGAGCACUUGGCAGGUGGCAGAUGACCUCACUCAGAACACUUUAGACCUGGAGUAUCUGCGUUUUACACAUAAGAUAAAACAACUAGUGAAGAAGGAAGGUUCUCGGCAGACUGACUCACCUCUGGAAAUUUUGUUGAGAGAUUUCCCUUUGACAGAAAAGUCUGAGCCCCCAGUUCUGCAUCCUACACCUAGGAACAGAAGCCCCAUUCUGGUAACAGUCAUGCACACUGAUGCCAGAUGGCAGAGUUGCCACAGAAGUGGCCAUACACCCAGCGAUCUGGACAGCUCUUCCUCUUUUUGGAAGGAAAGAUGUAGUCACAGUAGAAAUCUUACAAAUUCUCAAAGAAAGCAAACUGUUUCGUUCCACCUCAACAAACUGAAAUACAACAGUACUUUGAAAGAAUCUCGGAAUGAUAUUUCACUUAUUCUUAAUGAAUAUGCUGAGUUCAAUAAGGUGGUGAUGAACAGCAAUUACGCUGAUUUCCAAGAUAAAGAGUUAAACAUGGCUUCUGAAGAAGCCACAUUCCAAGAGACGUAUCCGUCUUUCUCAAGACAGUCCACCUCCUAUGAAGACAUAAUUACAGACUUAUGUGCCAGUUUGCAUACCAAACUAAAUAGUGUUCUGAAAGAGGCUUGUAAGAGUCCCUUCUUCUUCUACCUUGUUGAAACAGGAGACAAACCAUUCUUUUUAAGAACAAAGAGCAUUCUGAGGAAAGGAGGCCAUACAGAAAUUGAACCUCAGCAUUUCUGUCACACUUUUCACAGAGAGAAUGAUACUCUAGUAGUCAUCAUUAGAAAUGAAGAUAUAUCAUCACAUUUGCAUCAGAUUCCUUCUCUGCUGAAGCUGAAGCACCUCCCUGGUGUCAUCUUUGCUGGAGUAGACAACCCUGAAGAUGUUCUGAAUGACACACACCAAGAGCUGUUUCACACAGGAGGCUUUGUGGUAUCAGAUGACAAAAUACUGGAAACUGUAACAUUAGCUCAGCUGAAGGAAAUUGUCAAAAUCCUGGAAAAACUAAAUGGAAACGGAAGAUGGAAGUGGUUGCUUCACUACAGAGAAAAUAAAAAGCUAAAGGAAGAUGUAAGAAUGGAUUCAGUUGCUCAUAAAAAGAACUUAAUAUUGAGAUCAUAUCAGAGUGCAAAUAUCAUUGAAUUGCUUCCCUACCACCAGUGUGACUCCCAAUCACAAACAAAAGCAGAAAUUUUGAAAUGUUUGAUAAACCUACAAAUUCAGCAUGUUGAUGCCAGAUUUGCUGUCUUCCUAACAGAUAAGCAUAUCUCCAGUGAAGUCUUUGGAAAUAAUGGAAUCCUUGCUACAGAUGUAAAUAACUUCAUUGAGAAUAUACAAAAAAUAGCAGCUCCAUUUAGAAGCAGCUAUUGAAUUCCAUAAUACCAAUUUGUGACAACUAAUGUUGUGUAUUAGAAACAGCCCUACAGACUCCAGUUUUAUAUCAUGGAUUGCUAUGCAGACACGAAAAAUAGGUGAAAUAAUGUGAAAGGUCUGGCAAAAUGAGGUGGAAAAGACGAUCAAAUUUGGAGUUUUGACUGGAAACGUUUGUCAGACAGUAAGGUGGGCUUUUACUGUGAAGAUGUUGCUAAGAACUGAUUGGCCGCCUGAUGAGUGUUUGCACGCAGCCCUAUGUGUGUAGUGACAAGACAUGAAAACUUCCCAGAAACCUCUGCCGUCAUCGGCAUGAAUCCAAAUCGCCGAGAAUCCAAAUCGCUGAGAAUGAAUACCCUUGCCAAGAUGGGAAUAAAAAGCUCAAGAGCAGGACGAUUACACUUGUUGGCACAUGAAAUCAUAGUGGCUACAGAGGAAAAUUGGUGACCUGGGUCACUGCUUACGUUAUGCCCUGAUCAGACUGGCAUCUAGAAAACACCUCUGCUGCCAUUCUCUGUUGCUCAGCCAGAAGUUGCUGAAGUUCCUCUGUAGAAAAUUCUUGUGUUCCUCCACCAGUUCCUCAACAUCACCACUGUCUACCUGCCUAUGGACUCUGCUGUAGUGACGUCAACAACCACAGGUUCUGAGAAUUGAAACCCAGUCUCCUGCAUGCUAGGCAAGUACUCUACCACUGAACUACUUUACUCCCCCGGGCCUCCUUCUGUUCAUUUCUUUAAACUGUUUAAUGUAAAAAAAAAAAAAAUAAUAAUAAUAAUUAUAAGACUAAUGGUAUUAACAGUUUUGAUAUGGAAUUGUGGGACUUUAUAAAAUAUGGAAAUGUAAAAUGUACACAAUAGCACAAAGGAAAAUGGCAAAUAGAGUAAGUAUUGCAAAAUUCUUAUACAGUAUUUUAUGUAAAAUAGUACAAUAUUAACUCUAAAUUAAACUGAUGAAAAAUACUCUAGGAUAAGUGCUAAAAGAUUUUAAAGAACAAAAAUGUGUAAAAAGCCAUUACAGGAAUUAAGAUGGAAUAUCAGAAGAUAAUCCAAAAAGAGAAAGAGCAGUGAGCGUAGAGGAGGAAUAGCAAAAAUAACAGAUUAAUCUCAACCAUAUGGUAACUGUGAUAAAUAAACUGUUAUCAAAUAUUCCAAAAAGCCAACAUUUGUCACAGUGGGUGAAAAAGCAAGAUUCAAUUAUAUGCUGUCUUCAAGAGACUUAUUUUAAAGGUGAGGCACAAUGGAACAUUCAUGUAAUCCCAGCACUCAGGAUGCUGAGGCAGGAUUGCCAUGAGUUCAAGGUCAGCCUGGGCUAGAAAGUGAGUUCAAGGCUAGAGUGGACCAUGUAGUAAGGCACUGUCUCAAAAUAAAUAAAUACACUGAAAAUCUCACAGGGCAUGGUGGCACACACCUAUAGUCCCAUCACUUGGAAGGCUGAGGCAGAUGGAUUGCUGUGAGUUCGAGGCCAGCCUGGACUACAUAGUAAGUUCAAGGCCAACCUGAACUACACAGGAAGACCCUGUCUCAUGAGAAGAGAAGAGAAUCUCAUCUCUAUCACCUACCUUUAUAGACUACUCCACCCAACAUACACAGAAUACACAUUCAGUUCAAUGGCAUGCAUAUUCACUAAGAUCAUAUAUUAAGCCAAAAAUUAUAUGACUUAAUUCUAAUGAUUGUAAGAUUGCCCCUUGAUCAUAAUGGAAUUAAGAUACUAGUAACAAUACAAUAUUUAGAAAAAUCCCCAAAUGUUUAGAAAUUAAUAUCCUUCCAAAUAAUCCAAGGAUCAAAGAAAAAAAUCACAAAAAAGGUACUAACCAUAAUGGACAGCACAAAUUUACAGGGAAACUAAACCUUUACAUAAUUAUAUUACAUAAGUACAAAAUCAACUGCAUUUCAACCUUAAAAAGCCUUAAAAAAAGGCAAUUUAAACUGAAAUAGAAAUUAAGGAAAAACAGAAUGAAAGGUAGAAAGAAAAGCAGUCAAGCUAAAAUAUUGGUACUUUGAAAAGAUAAAUGAAAUUAAUUGGAUCCUAGCAAGAGAACACAGAAAAUACAAAUUACCAAUCUCAAGAAUGGGAAUAUCAUAUCUGAUCUUAACCUCAUCAAAAGUGUAAUAGAAAUAUUGAGUAUAAUUUCAUAUCAAUAAAUUCAAGAACUUAUUUGAAAUUAAAUUCUAUGAAAACUGCCACAAGAAAUAGUAUGUGUGAAGAAUCUUGUUUCUGUUUAAAAAAAAUUAACUUGCUGCAAAGAAAGUCUAGGCCCAAUGGAUUCAGUAAUAUACUUUAUGAAACAUUUAAGAAAAAUGAACAAAAAUCUCUACAAACUUCCAAAAAACAAAA